GCCUCACAUUUCACCUGUUUCCAAAGAAUGCAGAAGUUCGGAGUCUUUGGGAGCGGGCAGUUCGCCGUGAAGGGUGGCGCGCUAAGGAUGGAGACCGCCUGUGCUCUGUACAUUUCAGUCCUGAGUGCUUUGACCGCACUGGGCAAACGACGCGACUGCGGGUGGGAAGUGUGCCCACGUCGUUUCCAGCUUUUCCGCCUCAUCUGCAGAAACCUGUCAAACAGAAGCGUCCCGACCCCAAGUCUCGAGAUUUCCCGGCCCCGCCUGGUCCUGAGUGUUCUGGGUUGUGCGACCUACCUGGAGCGUAAAAUUUUUUUGAAGACUCGCCAACCAAAGUGUUCUACAAAGACAAGGUCCUUUCCUCACAAGAAGAGAUAACCCAGUUGAAGAAGAAGGUCAAAACACUGCAACAAACUAAACGAAGGCUGGUCAAGAGAAAUGAAACCGCCCAAGAAAUCAUCAAAGAAAUCAGAGAGCAAAAACUCUUGUCAGAAGAAGGCUCACAUGUGUUUUCAUCUGUUUUCUCGGAU